AAUGUGCACCACCUGUGUAACGGAAUAUUUUUAAAACAUCUACUCCCUUAAACUAGAAAAUUUUAAAUAGAUGGAUGUAUUUCUGGGUUAAUCUGAGCUACAAGAGUUAAACCAAGAAAUCAACAAGUUAAAUGGUCCCAAAAUGAAUAAGGAGAUCAGAAAAAGGAGUAAUAAGCCUUUUGACUAAAAAAAGCCAGGCCCAGAUAAAUUCACAGCAGAAUUAUACCAGAUAUCUAAAAAAUUACAAUUCAUGCUUCUUAAAUUAUUUAAAAAAUACAGACAAAGCACUUCCAUACUCCUUGUAUGAAGCCAAUAUAACUGACUCUAAAACCAAACCAAGAUGCAACAAAAAGUACAGGCCAAUAUCCCUGAUGAGUACAGAUGCAAAAAUCUCAAUAAAAUAUUUCUAGACUCAAAAGAGGCACAUAUCAAAAGAUCCUGAACUAUAACCAAGUUGACUAUCCCAGAAAUGCAGGGAUGCACGUCAAUGAAUAUAAUAAACUACAUAAAUUAAUUUAAUGACCAAAGUUAUAUAAGUAUCUCAAUAUGUGUAUGCAAAGCAUAUGACAAAUUUCACCAUGGACUAAGUGAUAACAGUCUUUGAAUGAGUAUAACUGGAGGGAAUGUGUCUCAACAUAAUAAAGGCUGUAUUUGACAAAAUCAUAUUUAACAUCAUCCUAAAUGGAGAAAAACUUUAAACAAUCCCAUUAGAAUCAAGAAUGACACAGGGCUGUAUACUAUUCCCACUCUUUAUCAAUAUACUACUCGAAGCACUAGUUAAGUCAAUAAAACAAAAGAAGAAAAUUAAAGGAAUACAAAUAGGAAAAGAAGACAUCAAACUGUCCCAGUGUGCAGAUGAUGUAAUUUAUACAUAAAAGAUCCAAAAAUUCUGACAAAAAAAACUUGUCAAAACAAUCAACAAUAUUAGCAAAGUGCAGGAUACAAAACCAAUUCAGAAAAAUCAGUAAUCUCUUUUAGAAACCAACAAAUAUGCUGAGGAAGAGAUCAUGGACUCACUUCUAUUCCCAACAGCUUCAAAAAAAUUUUCUAAGAAUAAACUUAACCAAGAAGGUGAAAGAACUCUACAGUGAAAACUUUAAAUCUCUGAAGAAACUGAUAUGUUUGCUUCUAGAUUAGCAGGCUUAAUAUUGUGAAAAUAACCCACCAAAAGCAACUUGCAGAUUUAGUGCAAUCCCAGUAAAAAUCCCCACAGCAUUUUUCACACACAUAGAAAAGAAAAGCAUCCUAAAAUUCAAAUGAACCACAAAAGACUCCAGAUAGCCAAAGCAAUCCAGAUCAAGAAGAAUAAUGCUGGAAGGAUUACCAUUGCAGAUAUCAAGAUCUAUUAUUGUGCUAUAGUAAUAAAAACAGUUUGAUACUAGCACAAAAACAGAUGUGCAGAUCAGUGGAACAAAAUAGAAGACCCAAACAUGAGCAUACAUAACUUAAACAAAAUCUAAACAGUGGCAACACCAGUUGACAUGACAAUUUAGAUGGAGGAAAUCUUUGGAGGUCUGACCCCUAGAUGAAAAGCUACAGGUAAUUAACAACUGGUAAGAAAUGAAUAAUUAGUCUUCCCCAGGGAUAGUCUCCUUAACUAGUUGUUCAGUCCCAAGUAGUCAGCACUAAAAACAUAUGCAUAGAAACAACACUAAACAGACUCAACAGGUUGCAUUUAUAUAUUUAUUUGCAUAUGUAUGUGACAAAAAUAAGAAGAGUUCACAAAUUUUGGAGGAGAGCAUAAAAGGAUUUGGAGGGAAGAAAGGGAAGGAGAAAAUAAUAUAAUUGUAUUUUAAAUAAAUAAAACUAUUUAAAAAUAAAUAUUAAUAAGGAUGGAAAAGUAGAUUGAUUAGCAAGCCAACCUCUGAAACAUUUAUAUGUUCAAGAGUGUAAACCUGACUUCAGUUUUGAAAAGGACUUUUAGAUGCAUGACUUAGAUAACUCAGCCAUUCUCUAAGCUAGAGCUCAUACAGUUGUUGCUAAUACCAUUGGCUAACCUUUGUAAUAUCUGUAAGUCACAAUAGCUCCUGCUCUAAUUUCAUGUACCUUCAUUCAAGGUAAUGUCAUUGUCACCAAAAAUCAGCAUCUGUCCACCAAAAGAAACUAACAUGGGAAACAAGCCAGGAAUUUUAAACUUCCCAAUUUCUUCAACUAAUGGCUGAAAAUCCAAGAGGGAAUUAUGGGGCUGGAGAGAUGGCUCAGCAGACAAGAGCACUUCUUGCCCUUGAACAAAACCCAGGAAAUUGGGUCUCCCAACCUUGAAGCAUAUAUAUUGAUGAUUGUUAUAUAUUUGAUGAACUAUCCUCUUUAUUAAUUAGCUGCCUCCUUGUCACUUCUGUCACUCUUCGGCUAUGACAGGCCAGACUGUAUGUAUCCCCUUGACCUGUGGUUAUUCUGGUUUCUUAAGCUGUCACAUCACUUGGUUUUUAAUAACUGAUGGUGUCAGGCCCCUGACCUCCACGUGAUAUUAUAUUACACAAUGGAAUUUAUUUCAAUUACUGACCUGCCUGCUGGAGGAAUCACAGUUUCAUAAAAAUCCACCACUGAAUCUGAGGCUUUGAGGCCUAUAGGCUUCUCCUCGGGAUCAGACUACCUAUCCUUUGUCUAGCUAACCCAGGAGCUACUUUACUUCCUCCCUUCAUGCAGUUAUGUAGCUAGAGUUUUGCUGCCUUGCCCACAGUCAGGACAAAUCUUUGUCACCCACCAGUCCCACAGCUGC